CAGCCGCCGCGGUAAUACGAGGGGGGCAAGCGUUGUUCGGAAUUAUUGGGCGUAAAGGGCGCGUAGGCGGUUUGGCAAGUUUGGUGUGAAAUCUUCGGGCUCAACUCGAAGUCUGCACCGAAAACUGCCGGGCUUGAGUAUGGGAGAGGUGAGUGGAAUUUCCGGUGUAGCGGUAAAAUGCGUAGAUAUCGGAAGGAACACCUGUGGCGAAAGCGGCUCACUGGACCAUUACUGACGCUGAGGCGCGAAAGCUAGGGGAGCAAACAGGAUUAGAUACCCCAGUAGUCCCUGUCUCUUAUAC
rnacentral:rRNA from 1 species